CAAUAGCGUAUAUUUAAGUUGUUGCAGUUAAAAAGCUCGUCGUUGGAUUUCGGAUGGGAUUUGCCGGUCCGUCGUUACGAUGUGCACUGGCCAGUCCUAUCUUGUUGUCGGGGACUAGCUCCUUGGAUUCACUUCCUGGGACUAGGAGCUGACGAGGUUACUUUGAGUAAAUUAGAGUGUUCAAAGCAAGCCUACGCUCUGAAUACAUUAGCAUGGAAUAACACGAUAGGACUCUGGCUUAUCUUGUUGGUCUGUGAGACCAGAGUAAUGAUUAAGAGGGACAGUCGGGGACAUUCGUAUUUCAUUGUCAGAGGUGAAAUUCUUGGAUUUAUGAAAGACGAACUUCUGCGAAAGCAUUUGUCAAGGAUGUUUUCAUUAA
rnacentral:rRNA from 1 species